GGGUGGCAGCGGACCACUCCCGGGAGGCCAGCCGCUGCCUGGGGGAGCCGGUUUCCCUGCGGGGCGUCCGCGGGCAGGGGUCUGCACCGGCCUUGAGAGGGGCGGCGGCGGCGCUCCCUUGCCCGCUCCCCAACUCCUGCAGUUCCCACCAACGCAAUCCUGAUUUCCCGACACCGGGCGGGCUGGGAACCGGGCGCUUCCACUUUCGCUCUGAAAAGCUGGGAAAUUCCCGGCCGGGACAGGGGGGAUAAAAGCACCGUCGCGGGCGCCGCUGCUCCACUGCGGGCGGUAGCUGCCAGGGAACCAGCGGAGCCGGUGCAUCAACUUCCGGGCGCCGUGGUCUGUAAGGAGGGUAAAGCGCCAUCUGAGCAGCACUGACCAACAAUCGCCACAGUGGGAUAUACCAAGCAGCAAGAACCCAUCCCAGGGACGGUAAGCAAUUUUAAGAACUUGGUCCAUUUUAGGAGCCCAGAAUUUUGAGACAUCUUAUUUAGAAACUGUAGCAGAAGUGCUGAACUUUCUUAUUACCUUGAGAUAGGAACAAGUCCAUCCCAAAGAGAUGAGCUAUCAUUAGGAAAGCAUUUUGGCUGCGAUUCCACUCUAUUUAGUCUGUUCUACUAUUAGUUUAUCUGUUCUGCUGCUUUUCUCUUUCUUUGAAGAGUUAAAAGAAUUAUAAUUUGUUUUUUCUGUCCACAUGACAUGAAGCAAACUCCAUCCUUGUGGAGUUGGUUCCUCCCUAUUGGUUGAUAUUUGCUAUUGAUAUUCUAUUACCUGUCAUGCUCAGAAUGGGCUGGAGAUGUGUUUCCUUCCGAAUUCCUUCUGUCAUUCAAGUGAGCUUUCCAUCCAAUAGACAGGUAUUCAUAGCAAUACUAUCCUCAGAGGUUCCUCUAAUGGAGUGGUUUUCAAACUGCUGGGUCGUGGAAUGUAAGGCAUUGGGUCAUGGCAGCUCUGGUCAGCACCGCCGAGUGGGCCAUUAAAAGUCCCAUCAGUGGUGCUGCCCAGCUAAGGCAGGCUACUCCCUACCUGUUCUGACACUGCGCUGUGCCCCUGGAAGCGGCCAGCAGCAGGGCCAGCUCCUAGAUGGGGGGGCCAUGGGGCUCCACAUGCUGCCCCACCAUGAGCACCAGCUCCACACUCCCAUUGGCUAGGAGCUGCGGGGAGCAGUGCCUGAGGGCGAGAGCCGCACAAAGCUGCUUGAGCGCUUCCACCUAGGAGCUGGACCUGCUGUGGUUUGCGGUGCCAGGACAGGCAGGAAGCCUGCCUUAGCACCCCCACUGUGACACUGACUAGGAGCCACCUGAGGUAAGCCCACACACCAAUCCCCUGCCCCAGCCCUGAGCCCCCCAAACCCAGAGCCCCCUCCUGCACCCCAAACCCCUCAUCCCCAGCUCCACCCCAGAGCCUGCAUCCCCAGUCCAGAGCCCUGACCCCCUCCUGCACCUCAAGCCCCUGCCACAGCCCAGACCCCCCUUGUACACCCUGAACCCUUCAUUCCCAGCCCCACCCCACAGCCCUCACCCCCACACCCCAACCCUCUGCCCCAGCCAUGAGCCCCUCUCACACUCCUCCCACACUCUGCUGGGACGUGGGCAUACAUUUCUUCAACUGGGUUGCCAGAAAAAAAAGUUUGAAAACCACUGCUCUAAUGGAAAUCUUUACCCAAACGGAUGAAAACCCUACUUAAGUGAUGUGGCCCCCUUCCUUUAGAACUGCCACCCUGUUUGAUGCUAUUCUGAGAUGUAGAGACAGAAUAAAGGCUUGAAAGGAACGCAUGGAAUCUUACCUAUGCCAUCAGGUAGAUGCAGGAUAUCAGCAUUCCAAGGAAGUUCAUAAGGCAUUUUGAUACUUUGGUUGUUGGAUACUUAGUGAAUUGUGGAUGUAACCUUCCCUUCUUCCAGAAUAGAUACACUAAGAAACUGCUCGGGACCUGAGGAACAUUAUGAUUUAUACCAGCUGAAGGUGGCUCUUCUCAUGUUCAUAAUGUUGGGCUGUUUGUAGAUCCCCAACUGCUGUUAGCUGAUCAUAUUUCAGAAGUGACCAGGAAGGUAUUUCUCACUUGCAUCUGAUCAGAAGGUUGCAACCAUUUGUUCAGCUGCUGUCACCAAUGGCUUUGUCACAUUGAGUUAGAUUACUAUGGUGUGCUCUACACAGAGCUAACCCUUCAACCUAUUCAGAAAACUGAAGCUGGUGCAGAAAGUGACAGCUUGCUAGUUAUCACUAAUUCUGAUUCUGAAAAAAGAAAAGGAGUACUUGUGACACCUUAGAGACUAACAACUUUAUUUGAGCAUAAGCUUUCGUGCAUCCAAUGAAGUGAGCUGCAGCUCACGAAAGCUUAUGCUCAGAUAAAUUGGUUAGUCUCUAAGGUGCCACAAGUACUCCUUUUCUUUUUGCGAAUACAGACUAACACGGCUGCUACUCUGAAAUCUGAUUUUGAAAGUCGCUUUGACACAGUAUUUGUCACAGUGGGGACUGAAUUCUCCAUUUCCGUACAUUGGCUAUUGAUGAUGACAGUGCUGGCACACUCGCUCCCGAUAUAUAUUGGCUUUGUUUGCUUGGGAGUGAUGGUGUUGGGAAGUAGUUCAAAAGCCAGUGAUUACAGCACAAAUGAAACAGAAAUCACUGGCCGUUGUUAGCUAGUGCAGCAGUGAAGACAAAUGGGAGCUGGAAUGGGUGAGUUAUGCUGUAGCAGACAGAUUCCUUUCCUGGAGACACUUUGAACAAGUUCCAGCACUAUAACACGGAACAAGGCGUCUACAGCAGGGUACGGGAAUGACUGAGUGCGGGGGGAGGGGGGAAGGGGAGGGGAGAGGAGUUCUCUGUUGGUGGAAAUUGGCACAGCCUCAUUGACUUCAAAGGAGUCUUUUUGGAAAAGAAUCAUCCAGGAAGCCUGCAGCUGCAUUGAGGAUGCUUGAAGGUGGAAAACACUGAGAUCCGGAACAAUUUCAAGACUCUGAUAGAGAUACAAAAACAAUACAGGAACAAAUGGAAAAAUAGAAAUAUCUCAAAUGUAGCCUUUCCUGAAAGCCCUUUUAUGUUGAAAAUUUCGAUGUAAAAAAGACAUUUGUUUUGAAAAUAAUUAAUGCACAUUAAAUGUAACAUACUAAUAUGUAGACUGCUUUAACACACACAGUGCAAAUGAUAACCAAAACACAUUUCACUCGAAGCAAUGACAGAAAAUGAAUUAUCCUAAGAAAAAAGUGCCUUAAAAUCUACAAUUAACUUACUUCAAAUAUUAUUAAUAUGUCAUUCCCUGAUCAAUGCAAAGAGUUCAAUAUUUCCUGUCUGUAACAUACUGUACCCCAUAUAACACUGUAACGAAGACUUUCGAAUCACCACCAUGGCGCUUUCUGCUGGCUGUCCUGGGAAUUGGCUCGGGGUUGCCAGUGUGCCCUCCUCAGGUGGUGUGUCACCUGUCAUCGCUUCUGUCUCCACCUCCAGGAUCACUUGCCUCAGUGGCAAUCUGCAGCCCAGGUUCUAGCUGCUCGUCCCAGUGGCAGCAGUCUAUACACUGGCCACUCCCCUCAGUGGCAAUUGGGGGCAAAGUGCGGGGGACCCAGGCCCGGCUGCUACUCCGGGUCCUGCCCCAGUGACCCUAUAGCCGGCAGCCACCUGCUGCCCCUCCUCCAACUCCUUUAUCUCCUUCCCUGGGCCACUUCCCCACAGUCCCAGCACCCUUGUAUCAGGGCCUCAGUCAGGCAGCCAUCAGCCUGGAGCUUCCUCAUACUCUGUACAAAGUAUGCCUUGUGCAAUAUCAUUUGAAAACUCAUAAUCUACUGAACAUUAUUGUCCUUUAAAAUGUGUGUAUCAACAUUGUAUAUGGAGCUAUGAGAUUUUACUUAUGAUUGUUACUGAAAUAUACUGUAGUUCUGGGUAUCACCCUCAGAUCAUUUUCUGAAAGACACUGGCACACCAGCUAGAUCCUAAAAAGCCAUUACCUGGGGAGUUGUAAACAAGAAAUUUACAGUUCACCUGAAGGUCGGUUGGCAGCUUACAUACACCAUGGAACUGCCUGACCCCAGGACCCAGCAGAGACUUGUCUAGUACAAAGGGUCAGAAUAUAAGAAAGGGAAAAAAGACCUCUUACCACCUCUCCUCUUCACCUUACAUCUCUCUGCUCAUAACAUCAAUGAAUAUCUGAAGGACACUGAACUAAGGGGAAUGGUCCGAGGCUGAAAGGAAAUCCAGCCUGUGAACUAAGAACUGUGAACUGCCUGCAGCAUCUGGUGGGGUGAGAAAGUUGUUCUUUUCAAAUCUUACUGAGCUUGGUAAAGUUUAGAAAUUAGAUUUAAUGUUUAUCUUUUAUUUCUUUUGUAAUCAGUUCUGAUCUGUAUGCCUUAUCACUUGUAAUCACUUAAAAUGUAUAUUUCUCUAGUUAAUAAACUUGUUUUAUUGUUUUA